UACGAAGGGGGCAAGCGUUACUCGGAAUUACUGGGCGUAAAGGGCUCGUAGGUGGCCAACUAAGUCAGACGUGAAAUCCCUCAGCUUAACUGGGGAACUGCGUCUGAUACUGGAUGGCUUGAGUUUGGGAGAGGGAUGCGGAAUUCCAGGUGUAGCGGUGAAAUGCGUAGAUAUCUGGAGGAACACCGGUGGCGAAGGCGGCAUCCUGGACCAACACUGACACUGAGGAGCGAAAGCCAGGGGAGCAAACGGG
rnacentral:rRNA from 1 species